AGUGAACGCUGGCGGUAGGCCUAACACAUGCAAGUCGAACGGCAGCACAGUAAGAGCUUGCUCUUACGGGUGGCGAGUGGCGGACGGGUGAGGCAUACAUCGGAAUCUACUUUUUCGUGGGGGAUAACGUAGGGAAACUUACGCUAAUACCGCAUACGACCUACGGGUGAAAGCAGUGGAUCUUCGGACCUUUCGCGAUUGAAUGAGCCGAUGUCGGAUUAGCUAGUUGGCGGGGUAAAGGCCCACCAAGGCGACGAUCCGUAGCUGGUCUGAGAGGAUGAUCAGCCACACUGGAACUGAGACACGGUCCAGACUCCUACGGGAGGCAGCAGUGGGGAAUAUUGGACAAUGGGCGCAAGCCUGAUCCAGCCAUACCGCGUGGGUGAAGAAGGCCUUCGGGUUGUAAAGCCCUUUUGUUGGGAAAGAAAAGCAGCAGGUUAAUACCCCGCUGUUCUGACGGUACCCAAAGAAUAAGCACCGGCUAACUUCGUG
rnacentral:rRNA from 1 species